GACGAACGCUGGCGGCGUGCUUAACACAUGCAAGUCGAACGGUGAACCAGGGCUUGCCCUGGGGAUCAGUGGCGAACGGGUGAGUAACACGUGGGCAACCUGCCCUCAGCUCUGGGAUAACUCCGGGAAACCGGGGCUAAUACCGGAUACGACCUCCUUGGGCAUCCUUGGAGGUGGAAAGGGUUUACUGGCUGAGGAUGGGCCCGCGGCCUAUCAGCUUGUUGGUGGGGUAAUGGCCUACCAAGGCGACGGCGGGUAGCCGGCGUGAGAGGGCGACGGGCCACACGGGGACUGGGACACGGCCCAGGCUCCUACGGGAGGCAGCAGUGGGGAAUCUUGCGCAAUGGGCGAAAGCCUGACGCAGCAACGCCGCGUGAGGGACGAAGGCCUUCGGGUUGUAAACCUCUUUCAGCAGGGAUGAAGCGAAAGUGACAGUACCUGCAGAAGAAGCACCGGCUAACUACGUGCCAGCAGCCGCAGUAAGAC
rnacentral:rRNA from 1 species